rnacentral:pre_miRNA from 1 species
AAUAUACUCCCUCCGUCCCAAAAUUCUUGUCUUAGAUUUGUCUAGAUAUGGAUGUAUCUAAUACUAAAAUGUGACUUGAUACAUCCGUAUUUAGACAAAUCUAAGACAAGAAUUUUGGGACGGAGGGAGUAUGUU